rnacentral:rRNA from 1 species
AGCGAACGCUGGCGGCAGGCCUAACACAUGCAAGUCGAACGAACCUUUCGGGGUUAGUGGCGGACGGGUGAGUAACACGUGGGAACGUGCCUUUAGGUUCGGAAUAACUCAGGGAAACUUGUGCUAAUACCGAAUGUGCCCUUCGGGGGAAAGAUUAAUCGCCUUUAGAGCGGCAGGCGUCUGAUUAGCUAGUUGGUUGAGGUAAUGGCUCACCAAGGCGACGAUCAGUAGCUGGUCUGAGAGGAUGAUCAGCCACAUUGGGACGGAGACACGGCCCAAACUCCUACGCGAGGCAGCAGUGGGGAAUCUUGCGCAAUGGGGGAAAGCCUGACGCAGCCAGGCCGGGUGAAUGAUGAAGGUAGGAGGAUAGUAAAGUUCUUUCACCGGGGACGAUAAUGACGGUACCCGGAGAAGAAGCCCCGGCUAACUUCGUG